UUAACUGGAACGUGGAGUGAUACUUAUCAAGUCAGUUACUGUAGUCAAUUAGUUACCUACAGAAAAUUACUUUAACCAGGGGUAUCAAACAAUGUUGGUUUUCAAGUGGGCCUGACCAGCACAUUUAUGAUAAUCACACAUAAAUAACAAGUCCAUGUUUUACCCCUCAGUUCACAUGCAAAAAAGUACAUCACUUAACUUGUAUGUGGCCCAACUGUGCUGAACAGGGCUUUUAUUUGCUUUGGUUUGCUGUCAUUGUUUUCACAUUCUAUUUGCAGUCCAGAUGUGACGGUUCAAACACCUACCGACACACACUCUGCUGUGCGUGCCGCUGAGCGUGCCUUUGAACACGCCCACGGGUGCUCCUCUCCUGCCGCAGCCCCGCGCAGCUGCACUCACUCGGCAAUCGACACUCCUGACGCUGAUGAAGACCUCACUGCCUUCUUAAACCAGCGUGUCCUGCGUUCCAGUGCCAGAACGUAGCUACUUGUACCAGUACAAUCUCAACAUUUCGCCUGCCUGCGGACUACGACGCCUCGCUCCAGCCCUUGACCUCUUGCUUGCCCACGGACCUUCGAGCCUGCAUUGCCCUCUCUGGACCACCCCAUCUUUCACAACACACACCUUCAACAGCUCCGGGUCUGCGUGUCUGGAGCUCCUGGGUCCCACCGUCCACCCCUUCCGGAUGCCCGUCUUUGUUGGGGCCUGCUGGGUCUAGUCCCCGCGUCCAUUUUGGUAGCUUGGUGCUGCAAGGUAUUUCGAGGUGCUGCGAGUUGGCCAGCUGCUGACGUA